rnacentral:rRNA from 1 species
AUGCUGUUAGAUGGAUAGCUUGGUUUUGGUAUAAUGGACGUGGCAAGCUGCGAUAAGCCUCGGGGAGUUGCACGCAAACUUUGAUCCGAGGAUUUCCAAUCUCCUAACGGAGAAAUUACGUCGGGAAUUGAAACAUCUUAGUACCGGCAGGAAAAGAAAACAAUUGUGAUGCCCCUAUUAGCAGCGAGCGAAAAGGGCACAGGGCAAGCUGAAUCUCCUUUCGAAAGAGAGGCAGAGAUGUGGUUAGGAAAGUCUAAGGAAUCGAAAAAAAAUUUUCUGGAACGAAAUACCUCAGAGGGUGAUAGUCCCGUAUUUGAAGAUUCUAUGAUGGAACUUAAAAAGAGUAGGGCUUCCUGGAUUGGAGGUCUGAAUACGGCAGGAUUAACUGCCAACCCUAAAUAUAACCAAAGUCCGAUAGCGCAAUAGUACCGCGAGGGAAAGCUGAAAAGAACCCUUAGAAGGGUGUGAAAAGAUUUGAAAUCUAACAGUUACAGUUGGCUACUGCUCCCCCACUUUAGUGGAACAGGAGUUGUAGCGUACGUUUUGAAGAACGGGCCAGGGAGUUUAUUUAUGUGGCGAGGCUAACUUUUUAUGAAAGGUAACCGAAGCGAAAGCAAGUCCUAACAGGCGCAAGUCACAUGAGUAUAACCUGAAGCCAGGUGAUCUAUCCAUGAGCAAGGUGAAGUCUCUCGAAAGAGGGAUGGAGGCCUGAACCGGUGUUAUAUACAUGUACUCGAAUGAUUUGUGGAUAGGGGUGAAAAGCCUAUCUAACCUGGCAAUGGCUGGUUCCUGCUGAAAUAUGCCUACGUAUAGUCUUGUCUUGUUUGUCAUCGGUGUAAAGCACGGAUAAAAUUUGCAGGGGCUAAUGCUUACGGAAUUUUUUCCAACUCAGAAGCUGAUGAUUGCAUUAGACAGGAAACAGGGGUGGUAUGUAAGAUACUAUUCCGAGAGUGGAACAACACAGACCAAAGUUAAGGUCCCAAAAUUAUGCUAAGUGUUUUGAAAGGUGUCAUGAGUCUGAGACACUAGGGAUGUAAGCUUAGAAGCAGCUAUCAUUUAAAGAAAGCGUAACAGCUCACCUACCGAGACUCAAGGCCCUGAAAAUGGACGGGGCUCAAGCAUAAUACCGAUACUUCGGCGGCAUUCGCAAUAAAAUUAAGUGGGAAGAAUUUAUUUAUGUAACUUAAUAGUAAUUACAAGGGAGAAAUACUUUAAUCGUUUCUAAAUAUUAUGAAAAAUAGAAGGUUAGAAAGAAUCAGAGAAUUUGAAAAAAGAUUGCAGAAUGUUGUUAAUAACAUGGAUAUCGAUGAAAGUAAAGAAGCAGUUCAUGUAAUGGGGUUUCGUGUUGGUGGUGAUUAUGAUGGAACUAGUAUCAGUUAUGUAAGAAAUUUAUUGAGAGAACAUCGCGCUUUUUAUCAAACAGCCAGCAUAAUCUUAUUGGGUGAAGAUUCAAAUGUAAAAGGAAUAGUUUGGCCUUAUACAGGUUUUGUUGAAGGAGGAAGAGGCAUGUACAAUCCAAUAACUAAUGAACAAUUGUUAAAAAUAUUGGAUAAAUAUAAUUGUGGAGAGGAUAGGGGAAUAGAAAAGUUUACAGAUUUUGAAAAUGAAUGGAAAUGGACAGAAAAAAUAUCAUAUAGAGUUAUAAAAAAAGAAUAAUCACCAAAUCAUAUUCAACAUUUCGUUGAUAAAUCAUACUAAUAAAUUCUUCCCACCUCGAACUUGAAAAAGUUUGAGGAUCAGAAAUUUUAAUUUCUGAACUUUUUACAGAAUGUUCGGGUAAGCAGGCGUGUUUGCUGCACAGAAGCAUCCUUUAGAGAGGGUGUGGAGCGGCAAGCAAUGAGAAUCCUGGCAAUAGUAGGAAGUGAUUAUUUUGAGAAUAAAUAACGUCGUAAGAGCAAGGUUUCCUUGGCAAUAUUCGUUAGCCAAGGGUUAGUCAGAACCUAAGUCAUGCCUUAACUGCGUAUGACGAUGGAUGACAGGUUAAUAUUCCUGUACUAAUUAAGUUUUGCAAGAUUUCGCUUUCGGAUAAGCGAACAUUCGGAAGAAUGUUCCAAAAAAGAAAUUUGUCGAGGGUAAUCCAUAGACACAGAUGAAUUUUUUGGACAAAAUCGCUGAUUCCAAGAGCCAGUGAAAAGUUUCUUGCUUAUGAAUUUAAUUAUCUGUACCAACAACCGGCACUGGUGCUCUAGCUGAGUAGGCUAAGACGUGAAAGGGAAAACCAAUUAAGGGAAUUCGGCAAUUUGGCCCUGUAGCUUCGGCUGAAGGGGUGUCUAUUUUUGUUUUCCAGAAAUGAGAAUGCAUUAAUAGAUCUCAGUAACAAAGAUGGCCCGACUGUUUACCAAAAACGUAGCCGAGUGCUAAUCCGAAAGGACUUGUAUACUCGGUGAGACCUGCCCAGUCACGGUGUGUCAAACUUCUUUUCAAGGGAGCUAAGCCCCGUGAAACGGCGGGGGUAACUAUGACCCUCUUAAGGUAGAAAAAACUAUGAUAGUAAAAGCUGCCUUACGGUUUGUUGAAAAACAAAACGCUUCAAGAGUUAUAGAAAAAUAAAACAGCUGAAAUAAAAUAUUAAGUUACAGAGCUAAAAACGAGUUAAACCAAACCCGGAAGUUUGAGAAACUUCUGGUCGAUUAAGAUUGCGACUUUAUCAACAAUCUUAACGUGAAGAAAAUCGAGCUAUAUGCUGGAACAUCUGAGUAUCCUAAAUUACUCGUCGGUAAAACGGCAGUGAAAAUAUUUAGGUGCAGACAAUCAGCAGGAAAGAUUUCUUAAUCAAUUUAAGAAAAA